UGGGGAAUAUUGGACAAUGGGCGCAAGCCUGAUCCAGCCAUGCCGCGUGAGUGACGAAGGCCUUAGGGUUGUAAAGCUCUUUUGGCGGGGAAGAUAAUGACGGUACCCGCAGAAUAAGCUCCGGCUAACUUCGUGCCAGCAGCCGCGGUAAUACGAAGGGAGCUAGCGUUGUUCGGAAUCACUGGGCGUAAAGCGCACGUAGGCGGAUAGUUAAGUCAGGGGUGAAAUCCUGGGGCUCAACCCCAGAACUGCCUUUGAUACUGGCUGUCUCGAGGUCGAGAGAGGUUGGUGGAAUUCCUAGUGUAGAGGUGAAAUUCGUAGAUAUUAGGAAGAACACCAGUGGCGAAGGCGGCCAACUGGCUCGAUACUGACGCUGAGGUGCGAAAGCGUGGGGAGCAAACAGGAUUAGAUACCCUUGUAGUCCCUGAGCGGGCUGGCAAGGCGCAU
rnacentral:rRNA from 1 species